AAAGAAAGCCGCUAAGCCAAACCGAAUCCGGCGGCUGAAAUCAGCUCAGGCUUCUUAAAACCCUUACAGGCUGUUUUUUAUUUAGACGGAGAGUAUAAAACCCUAAUCUCUUCUUCUUGUUUACUCUGUGUGUGCGUGUAAAUAUCAAAGUUAAGAACCCUAAUUUUGUAGAGAUGGAGAGUAAAUUGACAUUUUAUCAAACAGAUUGCGAGACAAUACUCUCACAUCUGAAGCACCAAGAUUAUCACCUUCAACUCAAGAGAAGGUGGUUGAUGGGAUUUCCUAUGUCUAAAUCUGAAAAGAAGAAGCUUUUAAGAUAUAAGUCGUUGCCUGAAUCUUUUCUUAGGGAAGAUGAUAUAUUUUAUGACACUGUAAAAAAGAAUGUUGAAGAAGCUUUUGGAGUAAAUAAUGGGGAAAGAGAGGAUAAACUUAUACAAGAGACUAAACAAUUGUUUGAAAGAACUAAUUUGAAAGAAAUCCUUCUAUCGUGUCUUGAUGCUCUGACAAAUAAAGGACUCUUUCUUCUUGCCAUGUUACUAACAAGGGGUUCAAUCAACUUUGAAAAAACUCGUCCUAAGAUGAAGAAGGUGAUCAAAGAAUCAAUUCCAGGGGUUUCUGGGGUUCAAAAUCAUAAAGUUCAGAUAGAAAUUUUUACACAGCUAUGUCAACUUCUCAAGGACCAGCGAAAUGUUCGAGAUGAUUGUUUGACACAUAUGUUUCCCACAUUUCACUCUCAUCAUAUUUCUGCUAUUAAAAUACUGAACAGACUAGAGGAGUUGUCUACUGAAACCCUGCUUGCUAUGCGUAGGAAACUUAGAGGUGACCCAGCUGGCACUCCUCGUUUACGACAAACCAGACAUGGGUUAAGCCGAGAUAAGCUGAUUUAUAAAUUAAGGAGAACGAGCGAGAAAAUGCUUUCAGAACUCAUUCGAGGGCAUGGGCUACAAGUGCCGUUAUCUAAAGCACUUGCUGUAGCAGGUUUAUCACUAAAACUAACACCAGGCUAUUCAGACUUCUAUAUUUCAGACUUUGACCAGUUCUCACCGGAAAUAAAAUCUUUGCAGAAUGAGAUAACAAAAGCUAUUUGGUUACUGAAGUGUAAGACGAAGGUCAGAAUACAAGAGCUGAAGACCUUGCAGCUUCUUUUAGACCCAAAUGCCAAUGUGCCAAAUGCAUGUUUAAGAACAGCAAUGAAGAAAAUGUUAACUGAAUACCUUUUUGAAUGCAGUGAUUUGGAUACAAUUCCCAAAUCUUUAUUAGAUGCUCUUGCUGUUAUCAACAGGAGUUCUCGAAGUAUGCCAAGUGGCUUCCUGAAGGAUGAAAUUGAUGAGGAGGUGGAUUGCAUAUUAAGUUUAAGUGCUCAAAUGAAGCAGGUUGUUUGGGAUUUGCUUCCUGAUCAUGAAUUAGAAGAGGAUUUUUCUGAUGUUUAUAUGGAAGAAUUAGAAGAAAGUGAUGAUGAUGAUGAUGGUGGUGGUGAUAAUUAUGAUCAUCAUGACACAGAUGAUGCUGUUGCUUCUGGUGAGGACGACGAUGGUCAGCAUCUGGAACCUAGAAACAUUCUAAGUAGUAGUAGGAGUUAUUCUAUUCAUUUGGAUAACCUAGAAGAGAGUUGUGGUGAGUAUGUACCAGAGGAUUUCAAGCCAUCGUUUUCUAACUUUGAGGGGAUUCAUGAUCCCACCCAUUUCCAAGAAAGAAGUAAUAUUGAUGGAACGCCUAAUGUGAAUGCGACACAGAUCAAGGUAGAGGACAUGGAAAAAUAUGGGACAUCGAGAAUCAAUGGAAAUUGUUUUUCCUCUUAUUGUCCUUCCACUGAAAGGUUAGAUAGCAAAAAUGAAUCUGAACAGAGUGGCACCGUUGAUUUAGGGGACCCACUACUCUCUUCUAGCUUUUGUUCUGAAGGGGGAAAAUUUAUGUCCAAUGGGCACAGUGCAAGUACUAACCUAUAUCUCGGCAUCCAAGAAGUUUGUGAUGAGGCUAGCAUGGUUGCCUACAAUCUUAUUGGUUGUAUGAUGGAGAAAUUCGCAGAGGAAGAAGGUUUAGAUUUAGAUUGGAGCACUAGUAAAUAUCUCAGAGGGGAUAAUUCUAAUCAAGAAAAUCCAGAAGCUUUGUAAGGGGAAUGUAAUAUGCCACAACUAUAGUUGUUCUCAUUCUAUUUCUAAUUAUGGAUUGCGGCUCAGAUUUACACCUGGAAUAUGAUUCAGUAGAAAAUAUAUAGAGAAGAAAUGCAGAAUACUUCUGAAUCUGUUAUUGUUCGAGCUGUGGAAGAGCUAGUGCCUUCCCUGCCAAAGAGUGGAAUGGAAAAACUGAAGGAGUUGAUGGGCAUCCUUUGAGCCUUUGGAGAUCAGUGAUUGUACUCCAGAAAAUACUGCAAGUUUCAGACCUGCUCAUGUAACAUUCUUCAUAUACCUCUUUGACUUUAUCAGAGAGGCAUGAGCCGUACGAGUUGAGGACCUUGGAACAAGGUUGUCCAUACUCAUCAAGUUCAAUUGAUUAUUGUACAGUGGAUCACAUAGAAAAGCUUAGUCAUACUAACAGCCAUUCUUGGUUCAUUGAUAAAGUCAAAGCCACCUAAAUCUUUCAGGUUAAUGACAAUUAUGACAAAAUUGUAGCGAUGUUGUUAAAAAAAUGGACCACAUUGUUAUCUAUUGGAGAUUCUUACUAAAGUGUGUGCCGGGUAUUUAUAUUGCUUGGGUUUGUACU